GAUGAACGCUGGCGGCAUGCCUAACACAUGCAAGUCGAGCGGCAGCAUGCUCACUGAAUCUUUCACGCGUUUGGAAGGUUUUGUGAGUGAUGGCGAGCGGCGGACGGCUGAGUAACGCGUGGGAAUCCACCCCAAAGUGAGGGAUAACGCACCGAAAGGUGUGCUAAUACCGCAUAUGGUCUUCGGAUUAAAGUUUUAACGCUUUGGGAGGAGCCCGCGUCGGAUUAGAUAGUUGGUGAGGUAAUGGCUCACCAAGUCGACGAUCCGUAGCUGGUCUGAGAGGAUGAUCAGCCAGACUGGAACUGAGAUACGGUCCAGACUCCUACGGGGAGGCAGCAGUGAGGAAUAUUCCACAAUGGGCGAAAGCCUGAUGGAGCAAUGCCGCGUGCAGGAUGAAGGCCCUCGGGUUGUAAACUGCUUUUAUAUGAGAAGACUAUGACGGUAACAUAUGAAUAAGGACCGGCUAACUACGUGCC
rnacentral:rRNA from 1 species